AGCUUUGCGCAGUGGCAGUAUCGUAGCCAAUGAGGUUUAUCCUAGGCGCGAUUAUUGCUAAUUGAAAACCUAAACUUUCAAAUUUCUUUAUUGAAAUCUGUGCUUUCUAAUGC
rnacentral:snRNA from 1 species